GGAACGCACGUCCACACCGACAGGCCUGUAAGUGGUAGCCACAAUUUGGUCCAGCUGGUAGCCACCUGGGACCAAUUAGGAUUAUGCUUAUAAGGUGGGGAUGGCUAGAUAGGCAAAGCACUGGACCCUAGGAGGAUUAAGAUUGGAGGAAGCGCCGCAACAGGCUCUGACUGUGACCUAUAAUGAACAAGCCAUCUAUCUCGGACAGAGGUCUACCUAAUUAGUGACGUAUCUGAGCUGCACUUAUCAAAAUAUACAUGGAUGCUCGUCCUGUUGGACACCACAAAAUCUAUGUUGGUCCAUUACCUGUGUGGCUCUAUUGCGGUAUAUACUGCAUUCACAGGUACACCAAGUAACCCCCGGACACAAAACCUACCUUGAGUCCUUGAUCAUGUGAAACAUCUGUUUACACAUCAGGGGAUGCGAUACUUGAUCUACCUCCUCCUCCUCCUGGGAUUAUCAUCUGGUCCAUU